GACGAACGCUGGCGGCGUGCCUAAUACAUGCAAGUCGAACGCAGUGGGGACGGGGGAGUAACACGUUGGUAACCUCCCAUCAGAGGGGAUAAAACUUGGAAACAGGUGCUAAACCGAUACUGAUGGAUGGACCUGCGGUGCAUUGGCUAGUUGGUGAGGUAACGGCUCACCAAGGCCACGAUGCAUAGCCGACCGGAGAGGGUGAUCGGCCACACUGGGACUGAGACACGGCCCAGACUCCUACGGGAGGUAGCAGUAGGAAAUCUUCGGAAAUGGAGGAAAGUCUGACCGAGCAACGCCGCGUGAGGGAAGAGGGUUUUCGGAUCGUAAGACUCUGUUGUUAGAGAAGCGGUAUCUAACCAGAAAGCCACGGCUAACUACGUGCCAGCAGCCGCGGUAAUUC
rnacentral:rRNA from 1 species